UACGUAGGGGGCAAGCGUUGUCCGGAUUUAUUGGGCGUAAAGAGCGUGUAGGCGGCCAGGUAGGUCGGUUGUGAAAACUGGAGGCUCAACCUUCAGACGUCGACCGAAACCAUCUGGCUAGAGUCCGGAAGAGGAGAGUGGAAUUCCUGGUGUAGCGGUGGAAUGCGCAGAUAUCAGGAAGAACACCUGUGGCGAAAGCGGCGCACUGGACCAUAACUGACGCUGAGGCGCGAAAGCUAGGGGAGCAAACAGG
rnacentral:rRNA from 1 species